rnacentral:rRNA from 1 species
UACAGAGGUCCCGAGCGUUGUUCGGAUUCACUGGGCGUAAAGGGUGCGUAGGUGGCCGGUUAAGUCUGACGUGAAAUCUCCGAGCCUAACUCGGAAACUGCGUCGGAAACUAUCCGGCUCGAGGGUUGGAGGGGGGACUGGAAUACUUGGUGUAGCAGUGAAAUGCGCAGAUAUCAGGAAGAACACCCGUGGCGAAAGCGGCUCUCUGGAACGGUACUGACGCUGAGACGCGAAAGCGUGGGGAGCGAACAGG